CCACUCAUAACAUCUGUCCAGUCAAAAACUGCACUAUAUUCAGUAAGAUCAUAAAUAUAUACCACAAAUAAUGAGACUAAAACAUUGCCCUGGGGUACUCCACUUGUCUUUCCCAUAAAAAAUUGUAACAUUCACUUGUACUGUCUGCUUGAUAGGUCUCAAAUAAAGGAACAAGACUUCAGACCAAAGCCAGAUUGGUGAGGAUCAUUGUGCUGGAACAUCAUCAUCUUUUCAUAGACGCCUGCUCCUAGGAGCUGCCACCAGGGGACGGCCACGGCAGAAGAGUUUCCAACUGUAACGCAUCACAGCAAUGCUAGGGAUGCUAACACAGGCCUCCCCACAGAGUAGCAGAGGGCGGCGUGCGGCCCUGCAUUGCAUCAAAUCAGCUGCCCCAUCACGGCCAUGCCCACGCCCGUCAUUCUGGGCCAAGGAGAACCUCGGGUGGCAGGCAGCACAGCGGGGGAGGCGGCGGUGCCAGGCCAGGAGGAAUUUGGCGAUGACAUUUACCAUCUGGCGAGGGAGCAGCCGUGGGUGGUGGCAGCAACUCAUCGAGCGGCGUGGAGGAGGGAGCCGCCAGGGUGGACCACGCCUACAGCCUGCACGUCACCGCCCGCCAUGCACUAAGGGCUGUGGGCGUGCAUGACCGCCAACCAAAGACUCAGCCCAGAGGAAGAGCCAGGCCAGCACCACCACAGGGACAGAGGACGAUGAGGAGAGUGUUCCAACGCUGCUCCAACUCAAGGUUCAUAGGCCACACGCUGAGCCCUGCCAAGAUGUCCUGCCAGGUGGUCGGCCUCCACCCCUACACCUCCCACUGGUUCCUCCUGCUGCCCCACUAAAAGGAUGUGCCAAGUAUGCCCUCCAGCCUGCAGUCCUUGGAUGGUGAGUGCAGUAACGUGCCCCCAUGCCUCACCCACCCUUGCCUUCAUGUCACCUGGCAAUGCAACUCUGCCUCAGACUCCAGUAAUUUAUGUUCACCCACCCUGCUGCCAGCAUUUGUUAGGAUAUAGGAACACACCAAUGCUUUUUUAUUCCCCUUUCUCCUCCUCCUCCUCCUUUAGAUAGUCUAUUUCAGAGAGACACCAACACAAUAACACGCAGCAACGGUAUGAAGUUGAAGGGAAACUGAUGUAACACAUUGGUGCGCAAAAGUUUUUUCAAUAAUAGAGUCGUCGAUCACUGGAAUAGACUCCCACCGUCAGUAGUUAGCGCACAGAGUAUCAAUAGCUUCAAGUCUUCAUUGGAUAAGUACUUCAGGGAUAUAAGAUUAUACUGACCCUUCUUCGCAUGUUUUCAGACAGAUUGCAGCAAGACCUCAACCUAAAUCCAUAUUAUUCUCUCCCACAACCUAGAUUGCAAGUAGCGUAAGUUAACAAAAGAGUAAAGCAACAGUUAAUGUCCGCAUGACAGAUGGAGUGAGGUGUGGGUGCAGUAAGGUGACAGGUUACUGGUGCGUGCCUAGUACCGCCAGUAAAACGAGGAUCAAGCCUCCACCUCACCCAUCACCCUCCGCGUGCCGUGGAUUAAGGCCAACCUUAACGUGUGCAUAUCUGGUGAGCUCUGGGACCACCCUGCCCUCCCUCACCCACAGGGAUGAGCUUAUCAAGGAGUGGGCGAAACCCUCCACACUCUGACCUGUGUGUUGGCCCGCCAUGUGUACGCCCUCGGCCUCAGCAGUCUGCCGCUGGAGCGCGUCGGUGAACGGCGACUCGUCAGGAGGGGCUUCACCAAGCGCUCCGGCCUGGAUGUUAGUGCUGAGUGUUGCCUCCCAGAUAGUGAAGUCGGUUAGUCUGAAUUGGUCUUAGAAAUCACUACGUUUACCUCAGUUUACUAAGGAGGAAAUUACACUGAAAUCUAGGCGUCCGGAUUCUGAUGUGCAGGGAUUUGUAAGGGAUGUGAGUGCCUGAGUGUUGCUGUUGGUGUCGUGGAAGUCCAGGAGUCUGAAUUGGUCUGAAAAAUCCCAGUAAAAUUUAUUUUUGCUAACGGGGAUUUUUUAAGCUGAAAUAUAGUUCGCUCGUUUGCGACAACGUCGUCAUAACUCAAAAAUAGCAAUUUUUCACGAGAGCCAUUUUAAAGAAUGAAAACACUCUCAAUAUUGUGAAUAGUCCCAAAGGACCAUAGCUGGAACAUUUUUUGAAACAUCAAACAGUCCUUUAAAGUUUAUAGAAAUUGAAAUAGUUAUACCUCUCUAAUCGAACCUUUAUUUAAACUUUUAUAAUGUUUUUUUUUAAUAUGACGUUCUUCAUAAAAAAAUAGUAGACCUCUCAUGUACUAUUUUGUUUUGUGCCAUUAUUGAAAGGAAAAUAAUCACCAAUAUGCUACUUAAUUAUGUAUUGUUCAUUGCUUAUUACUUUGACAAGAUUGAUGAUAAUACAUUUUCUUUUUAUGAAAAUGAUAGAUACUUCCUAAUAAAUUAAAGAUAUUGACUGUAACACAAAAAAAAAAAAAAAAAAAAC